GAAAUUCCUUGUCGGGUAAGUUCCGACCCGCACGAAAGGCGUAACGAUCUGGGCACUGUCUCAACGAGAGACUCGGUGAAAUUAUAGUACCUGUGAAGAUGCAGGUUACCCGCGACAGGACGGAAAGACCCCGUGGAGCUUUACUGCAGCCUGAUAUUGAAUGUGGGUACAGCUUGUACAGGAUAGGUAGGAGCCAGAGACGCGUGAGCGCCAGCUUGCGCUGAGGCGACGGUGGGAUACUACCCUGGCUGUACUGACAUUCUAACCCGCGCCCCUGAUCGGGGCGGGAGACAGUGUCAGGUGGGCAGUUUGACUGGGGCGGUCGCCUCCUAAAAGGUAACGGAGGCGCCCAAAGGUUCCCUCAGAAUGGUUGGAAAUCAUUCGGAGAGUGCAAAGGCAGAAGGGAGCUUGACUGCGAGACCUACAAGUCGAGCAGGGACGAAAGUCGGGCUUAGUGAUCCGGUGGUUCCGCAUGGAAGGGCCAUCGCUCAACGGAUAAAAGCUACCCCGGGGAUAAC
rnacentral:rRNA from 1 species